rnacentral:rRNA from 1 species
UACGAAGGGGGCUAGCGUUGCUCGGAAUCACUGGGCGUAAAGCGCACGUAGGUGGGUCGUUAAGUCGGGGGUGAAAUCCUGGAGCUCAACUCCAGAACUGCCUUCGAUACUGGCGAUCUUGAGUCUGGGAGAGGUGAGUGGAACUCCGAGUGUAGAGGUGAAAUUCGUAGAUAUUCGGAAGAACACCAGUGGCGAAGGCGGCUCACUGGCCCGGUACUGACGCUGAGGUGCGAAAGCGUGGGGAGCAAACAGG